rnacentral:rRNA from 1 species
AUACGGAGGGUGCAGGCGUUAUCCGGAUUUAUUGGGUUUAAAGGGUACGUAGGUGGCCCUGUAAGUCUAGUGGUGAAAUCCUGCCGCUUAACGGUAGAAUUGCCAUUGAUACUGCGGGGCUUGAGUACAGUUGAGGCAGGCGGAAUGUGCAGUGUAGCGGUGAAAUGCUUAGAUAUUGCACAGAACUCCGAUUGCGAAGGCAGCUUGCUAAACUGACACUGACACUGAGGUACGAAAGCGAGGGGAGC